rnacentral:lncRNA from 1 species
GGCAGAUGGCAGCAGGGAGACAAGACGCGCAGCAAGGCCACCAUGCUGGGCUAGAUCAUCAGACGACAAAUUCAAAGAUCAAAUCUCUGCCUGAGAGACGGGACAUUUGGAGCAGGACCUGGGCCUACCUGGUGGGGUGAGGCUUUUUCUUCCAGGCUUCAGAGGAAGCAGGGGGCUUCUGUGACGUGUUUGUGUAUUACAGGAACACUAUGCCUUCCCAAUGAGAUAUCACUCGGUGCGCCCAGGAAAAAUAAGGAGAAGGCACUUUGUUGAAGAUGCACUCCACUGGCCUGGCACUCUAUGGCUGAUACCCAGAGUAGAGGAGAGCUGCUUGCUGGCUUGUUCUUCAUGGUUCACUCAGUUCACUUUCUUACAUAGCCCAGGACGACCUGCCCAGGAACAGAACCACCCAUAACAGGCUGGACCCUCUGGCAUUAACCAUCAAUCAAGAAAAUGCUCUACAGACUUGCCUGCAGCCCAAUCCAAUGGAGGCAUCUUUUCAAUUGAAGUCUCAUGGAUCUCGAUAAGUUGGAGACCAGCCUGUUGUACAUAAUAAGUGCCAGGACAGUCAGAGCUACAGGG